rnacentral:rRNA from 1 species
GGACUACAGGGGUAUCUAAUCCUGUUUGCUCCCCACGCUUUCGCGCCUCAGCGUCAGUCUUCAACCAGUCGGUCGCCUUCGCCACCGAUGUUCCUCCCAAUAUCUACGAAUUUCACCUCUACACUGGGAAUUCCACCAACCUCUUUGAGACUCUAGCAACGCAGUCUUGAAUGCACUUCCUCGGUUAAGCCCAGGUAUUUCACAUUCAACUUACGUCGCAGCCUACGCGCCCUUUACGCCCAAUGAUUCCGAACAACGCUUGCACCCUCUGUCUUACCGCGGCUGCUGGCAC